rnacentral:rRNA from 1 species
UACGGGGGGUGCGAGCGUUGUCCGGAAUCACUGGGCGUAAAGGGCGCGUAGGUGGUUUGAUAAGGGUGUGGUGAAAGUCCGGGGCUCAACCUCGGAUCGGCCGUGGCGACUCGUGGGCUGGAGCACUGUAGAGGCGGGUGGAAUUCCGGGUGUAGCGGUGGAAUGCGUAGAGAUCCGGAAGAACACCAGUGGCGAAGGCGGCCCGCUGGGCAGUGGCUGACGCUGAGGCGCGACAGCGUGGGGAGCAAACAGG